UACGAAGGGGCUAGCGUUGCUCGGAAUGACUGGGCGUAAAGGGCGCGUAGGCGGUUCGUACAGUCAGACGUGAAAUUCCCGGGCUCAACCUGGGGGCUGCGUUUGAUACGUGCGGGCUUGAGUUCGGAAGAGGGUCGUGGAAUUCCCAGUGUAGAGGUGAAAUACGUAGAGAUUGGGAAGAACACCAGUGGCGAAGGCGGCUAUCUGGACGGUUUCUGACGCUAAGACGCGAAAGCGUGGGGAGCAAACAGGAUUAAGAAAC
rnacentral:rRNA from 1 species